CCUACGGGAGGCAGCAGUGGGGAAUAUUGGACAAUGGGCGAAAGCCUGAUCCAGCCAUGCCGCGUGUGUGAAGAAGGUCUUCGGAUUGUAAAGCACUUUAAGUUGGGAGGAAGGGYAGUAACUUAAUACGUUGCUACUUUGACGUUACCGACAGAAUAAGCACCG
rnacentral:rRNA from 1 species